GCUAACUCCGUGCCAGCAGCUGCGGUAAUACGGAGGGUGCAAGCAUUAAUCGGAUUUAUUGGGCGUAAAGGGGGCGUAGGCGGAGAUGUAAGCCAGACGUGAAAGCCCGGGGCUCAACCCCGGAAUAGCAUUUGGAACUACAUUUCUUGAGGAUAGGCGGAGAAAACGGAAUUCUGCAUGUAGCGGUGAAAUGCGUAGAUAUGCAGAAGAACACCGGUGGCGAAGGCGGUUUUCUAGCUUAUUCCUGACGCUGAGGCCCGAAAGCUAGGGGAGCGAACAGGAUUAGAUACCCGUGUAGUC
rnacentral:rRNA from 1 species